AUAUAUAUAUAAAUGUAAAUAAAUUAAAAAAAUGUUAUUUGUUGUGUAUGAUUUUAUUUUCUUCAUGGUUAUCAAUUAAUUGUCAUUAAAUACACUCUCAGAAAGAUAGAGACAUCGAGCACAUGCAGAAUCACACAUGCAGAAUUGUUUUGUCAAAACAUCCCUAGAUCCCUUAAGGUGAUAUUUUAACAUGGGUUCUGGGGACACCAGGGGUCUGAGAGGUAUAAUAUUUAUUAAUAUUUAUAUAGCCAGAUAUAAUACUGUACUGACGUUUCCCUGAAAUCUGUUUUGUAGUUAAAAGGCAUAAAUAUUGAGGUCUAAACUGGUCUAUGACCAACAACCAACAAGAACUAGAAGAAUAUAUAUAUAUAUAUAAUUAUAUAUAAUGUGUAAAACAUUUGACAAUCAUACACACACACACACACACACACACACACACAUAUAUAUAUAUAUAUAUAUAUAUAUAUAUAUAUAUAUAUAUAUAUAUAUAUAUAUAUAUAUAUAUAUAUGAAUAAAAUGCAAGUAUUAUCUGUUAUGUAAUCCAUAGUCAAUCAAGUCCAGUAUUAAUCUGAUAUUAUUACCAACCAGCUCUGUGGCUCUUUCAUAAGUCAACUGAACGCUUCAGUGAGUGGUGAAGUGAAAUGUCAAUCAGCAUCAAAUUGCCAAUAAUGCCAAUUAAAAUGAGUGGGUUUAAAUGUUUCGGCUGGCCAAUCAACCUGGGCUGGAUGUCAGCGGGGUCCAGUGUCCCAAUAUGGUUUUACAUGAUCAAUGGUACAACAUGACUGAGUUUAGAUAUUACUAAGUGCUUAAUAAACUACUACUUGAGCUUGUCUUCAAUGAGCGUCUAAUUGAGAGUAUCAAAAAUAGUGAUCAUUUUAAAAGAAGCAAUAAUAUAAAUCUUAAAAAAGUUUUUUUUACAUAAGUAUCUGUCUUUUGUCUGUGUAUUUCAUUUAUUAUCUGUAGUGGGCCCAGGUGUCUUCUUCUGUAUAUGUGAUAUCAUCAGAAAGCACCUCACCAGUAUCUACAGAGAUGUCCCAGUCUGGUGAGGAAUCCCUAAAGAAGAAGCAGGGUGAUGCAAGAACAAUCUCCAGAUGGCCUUUCUGUAGGCUGUCCUGCAUUUGGGUCCGUUUUUAUCCUGCGUCCAUGACAGAAGGAUUCCGCCAGACCAGGACCCAGCAGGACAGCUGCAGCUUGGACCGGCCGAUAUUGGGAGCAUUUUUUUUCCUUGUUGGAUUUUUUUUUUCCCCUGGACUUUGCGGGUUUUGGUGACAUUUUUCCGCAUUUUUCCGG